GAAGAUAACAUUGUAAAUUGAUAAUUUCCGAGUGUUCAAUUUUUUGGUUGCUGUUUCGAGGGUUUUCCUAAAAGGAUCGGAUUUUAGGUAUUUCUCGUGAUUAUGGUUGAGUGGUUAAUUCAAGCGUAAAAUGAACCCAAAAGAAGGAGAAGAAUGAAGAUAGUGACCUACAACGUGAACGGAUUGAGACCUCGAAUCUCACAGUUCGGUUCUCUUCGCAAAUUGCUCGAUUCCUUUGAUGCCGACAUCAUCUGCUUUCAGGAAACGAAGCUGUCGAGGCAAGAGUUUAGAGCUGAUUUGGUGCAGGCUGAGGGUUACGAGUCCUUUUUCUCUUGCACUCGCACUACUGAGAAAGGCCGAACUGGAUAUUCUGGUGUGGCGACAUUUUGCCAUGUCAACUCUGUGUUUUCGAGUGAUGAGGUAUCUUUGCCAGUCUCUGCCGAGGAGGGCUUUACUGGUGUUCUUAAGGAUUUCUCAGUUUCGGGGUACAGAAAAAUUGAAUAUUCACCACUAAUCGAAGGGCUAGAAGAUUUUUCUGCUGAGGAGCUUCUGAAAAUUGAUGGUGAAGGACGUUGUAUAAUUACUGACCAUGAACAUUUUGUUCUUUUUAAUAUUUAUGGACCUAGAGCUGUAGCCGAUGAUACAGAAAGAAUCCAAUUCAAGCAUAACUUUUUCAACAUACUGCAGAAAAGGUGGGAAUCCCUUCUACAUCAGGGUCGGAGAAUAUUUGUUGUUGGGGACCUCAACAUUUCCCCCUUUGCGAUAGAUUGUUGUGAUGCUGGGCCCGAUUUUGAGAAAAAUAAAUUUAAAUCUUGGUUUAGAUCUUUGCUCGUAAAUAAUGGAGGUGCCUUUUUUUAUGUUUUCCGGGAAAAACAUCCUCAGAGAAGAGAAGCCUACACCUGCUGGCCGACAAAUAGUGGUGCAGAGGAGUUCAACUUUGGGACACGUAUUGAUCACAUUCUUGGUGCUGGGCCAUGCUUACAUAAGGAAGAAACUCAAGGACAUAGCCUCAUAGCUUGCCAUGUUAAAGAGUGCGACAUAUUAGAUCAGUUUAAACGUUGGAAACCUGGUAGUACACCCAGGCAUAAAGAACAAAAGACUAGAAACGGUAAAAUGGAGGGCUCGGAUCAUGCUCCUGUGUACGUGAGCUUGAUAGAUAUCCCCAAUGCUCAACCACACAAUACUCCUUCACUGUCUACUAGAUAUUGUCCCCAGGUCUAUGGAUGUCAGCAGACACUAGUGUCGAUGUUUGCAAGAAGGCAAUCUGCAGAAGAUAGUAACUUAUCUGGAGGAUCCAAUUCUAUUUCAGAUGAUAGUAAUGUCUUAGAAAAAUGCAGUCAACUCAAUAAAAGAACUCUGCAUUCAUGUAGUUCAGCUUCAUCAGACUUCAUCCAUCAAGGCAUACUUUGCACAUCAGAUGACAGUUGUAGUGACUCAUUUACUGAACCAUCUUCUGGUGCUCAAACUUUCUCUGCAUCUGGUCAUACUAAAUCCUCAGUGGUUUGCAAGAAAAAAGCAAGGAAGAGUCAAUCAUCUCAACUUUCACUAAAAUCAUUUUUCCAGAAAACAGUAGGUGGCCGUAGUGAGUCAACCAGUUUUUGUUCUAAUAAGGAGCUUACUCAAGAAGAUUUCUCCAUUGGUGAACCAAGUGAAACUUUUAUUGAAGGUUGUGAACAUAAUGAAGUGAAGGAAUUGCAGGAAAAAGCCACAAAACAAUGUGGAUCAGUGCAAGAGGAUAUGUCUCAAUCUGCUGAAAAGAAGAAUAAUAAUGCUCUAGUUGAAUGGCAAAGGAUUCAACAACUAAUGCAAACUAGCAUACCUCUUUGCAAGGGCCACAAGGAACCUUGUGUCUCCCGUGUAGUGAAGAAACCAGGGCCUACUUUAGGGCAACGAUUUUAUGCCUGCGCACGUGCAGAGGGACCUGCAUCUAAUCCAGAAGCAAACUGUGGAUUCUUUAAAUGGGCUACUGCAAAGUCGAAGAAGAAAAGAUGAUUUUGAUGUAACGAGCCUUGAAGGUUUUGAUCAAUAUUAAGAUUCCGCUAUGUGCGACUUCUUAAACUCCCUCUGUUGUCCAAGAAGGGCUGGCUAUAAGGGCAGUUCAUAUCUGAAGUGGGUCGUAGUUAUCAUGAUGUACACAGUUGGCAAAGAAUGUUUUUGUGGAGGCCGGGGUUUGUUGUGUUCUAGUUGCCCAUUUAUUUUGAUAACUGUCUUAUGCUGAAUUUGUAUGUAUGGCUGUGUGAUAGUUCACAUGGCCUUUUAUAUGGUGCCCACAAACAUUUCAUAGUCAGUUUUAGCCCUCUGGUUUAUCCUCAGCAUAAUACCCAAGAUAGCAAUAGAUGUGAUCUGUGUUUUUGUAUGGUUGUGGAGAUUUAAAAGAAGUCUGUCGGGCUAAUAGAGUGCAGAAGGGCAUGGCUCGUCUUUGGUAUGAUCGCAUAAUUGUCGUCCAGAAUGAUUGAACUGUAUCACAACUCCAUUGUGAACUUGUGUAAAUAUGGCUGCUUGAACUCGACACGUAUCACGCCGAAUC